AGAGUUUGAUCAUGGCUCAGGACGAACGCUGGCGGCGCGCUUAACACAUGCAAGUCGAGCGAUAACCAUGGCUUCGGCCAUGGGGAGAGCGGCGAACGGGUGAGUAACACGUGAGUGAUCUGCCCUCGACACCGGGAUAGCCCGGGGAAACCCGGAUUAAUACCGGAUAGCCUCUCGAGCCUACGGGCUCGUCAGAAAAGAUGGCUUCGGCCUUCGGUUGAGGAGGAGCUUGCGGCGGAUUAGCUUGUUGGUGGGGUAACGGCUCACCAAGGCGACGAUCCGUAGCUGGUCUGAGAGGACGAUCAGCCACACUGGGACUGAGACACGGCCCAGACUCCUACGGGAGGCAGCAGUGGGGAAUCUUGCGCAAUGGGCGAAAGCCUGACGCAGCGACGCCGCGUGAGGGAAGAAGGCCUUCGGGUUGUAAACCUCUUUCAGGAGGGACGAAGCUACUCGGGUUAAUAGCCCAGAGGGUGACGGUACCUCCAGAAGAAGCCCCGGCUAACUACGUGCCAGCAGCCGCGGUA
rnacentral:rRNA from 1 species